UACGGAGGGAGCUAGCGUUGUUCGGAAUUACUGGGCGUAAAGCGUGCGCAGGCGGUUCGUUGUGUCGGCGGUGAAAGCCCCGGGCUUAACCUGGGAAUGGCCGUUGAAACUGGCGAACUGGAGUGUGGCAGAGGGGGUGGAAUUCCGCGUGUAGCAGUGAAAUGCGUAGAGAUGCGGAGGAACACCGAUGGCGAAGGCAGCCCCCUGGGCUAACACUGACGCUCAGGCACGAAAGCGUGGGGAGCAAACAGG
rnacentral:rRNA from 1 species